UACGUUCUGAGGAAGAAAGCAGGGGAUCGCAAGACCUUGCGCUAUUAGAUGAGCCUGCGUCCGAUUAGCUAGUUGGUGGGGUAAAGGCCUACCAAGGCGACGAUCGGUAACUGGUCUGAGAGGAUGAUCAGUCACACUGGAACUGAGACACGGUCCAGACUCCUACGGGAGGCAGCAGUGGGGAAUAUUGGACAAUGGGGGCAACCCUGAUCCAGCCAUGCCGCGUGUGUGAAGAAGGCCUUCGGGUUGUAAAGCACUUUAAGCGGGGAGGAAGGCUCUAUGGCUAAUAUCCAUGGGGAUUGACGUUACCCGCAGAAUAAGCACCGGCAAACUUCGUGCCAGCAGCCGCGGUAAUACGAAGGGUGCGAGCGUUAAUCGGAAUUACUGGGCGUAAAGCGCGCGUAGGUGGUUUGGUAAGCGAUAUGUGAAAUCCCCGGGCUUAACCUGGGAACUGCAUGUCGAACUGCCAGGCUAGAGUAUGGUAGAGGGGUGUGGAAUUUCCUGUGUAGCGGUGAAAUGCGUAGAUAUAGGAAGGAACAUCAGUGGCGAARGCGACACCCUGGACCGAUACUGACACUGAGGCGCGAAAGCGUGGGUAGCGAACAGGAUUAGAUACCCUGGUAGUCCACGCCGUAAACGAUGUCAACUAGCCGUUGGGGGGCUUGUCCCUUCAGUGGCGGAGCUAACGCGAUAAGUUGACCGCCUGGGGAGUACGGCCGCAAGGUUAAACUCAAUGAAU
rnacentral:rRNA from 1 species